rnacentral:lncRNA from 1 species
GAGGAGACGCCGCUGGGAGACCACGCCCCAGCAACGAGGAAUGCCGAAGGUAGCCGAACAGAAGGGAAGAGGGUUCUCCUUGUCCUGUGGCUGGCUAGAGAGAAGAGUCGACAAUAGCGACAGUGGCCAAUCAGAGCUGUUGGCCCUCAGGGAAAAGCCUCAAGAGUUAAGGACGGCGAAACUCCCGAGUCGCGGGAGGAACUGCACGGCUGGGCGCCGCGCCCGUUUCCUCAUUGGCUGGACAACUCCGCUGGGCGUGUACCUUUCUCGGUGAUUGGUGAAGGGAAGGGGGCUUCCGAGGACAUCGGGCCAGUCAGAGCCUCCCCUCCCUCUUUGAGGCGGGGAGAAGAAGAAAGCGGAGGGAGGGCACCUAUAAAGUGCCAUCUCAUUGGUCUGCAGCGUCGAGCUGGAGCGCGGGGGGAGGGGAGCUUCGAAAGGGAGAAGGAGGGUGCAGGAGCCCGUGGCGGCGGCCAAUAGGCGCUCACUGCUGUGCAAUCGCAAGACCUAGCUGCAGUGGGAUUGGCCUCGGGUGGUCCCUAAGCGGGCGGACGGGAUGAGUGGUCGGCCUGCAUCUGCUUUCCGAGCCGACGCUCGUGCUGGCUGUGCAGCCCGGUCCGACAAUGCUGCGGUCGGAGGGUCGGGCCCCGAGCGCUCUAGUGGGGCGUGAGGCCGUCCCCAUUCCCGGGAGCUCCGCGGGGCGCGGCUUACCAAGUGCGCCCGAGGCUCCCCACCGCGCGUGCUGAGCCUAUGAGAACGUCUAUUCUCUGAAAGACGUAGGGCGCCGUGGCCGGGGCCGAACCCUCUAGCGCUUAAAUGGGAACAAAGCUUCCAGAGAAGGAGAGCCUCUGGGCAGCCGCGCCCGCCCAUCGCGGGGGGCCGCUGAUCUCGUGGGGGGGGGGGGGGGAGCCCUUUGCAGCAGGCGCACAAGGCCAGACCAGGCCUUCUGGAAACGCCCCCGAGAGAUGAGCUCAUGCUAGAUGAGCGCGGUCCAUGGGCGCGACUGUCCAGCGCAAAAGCAGCCCCGAAAACAGGUGAGGGGAAAUGUGGUCAGGACAGUACCUCGAAUCCUAGGAGGAAGCUCAAGUCAGAAUUGCUCGCAGCAGUUUUUAGUGUUAUUGGAUGAUCAGCACACUGCUGCCUAAGUAGGUUUCACAUGUAGUCCAGCGUCCAUUGUUCUACAAAGGAGACCAUUGCCUUGGUCCAUCCGAGAGCUGUGUGGCGUGGCUACUACGACUAGAGUAAGUUAGAGUGGACACUGGCAAUCCUGACUGUAAUCCCGUGAUACUUGUAAUACCCACCCGCAUAGUCAUCUCUUUCUGUUGAGAUGCUAUCUCCAGAAAGCACAUGUAAAAGUACACGUACUUGAUCAGAUUGCUUAGCUAUUGCUUUAAAAUCUGAUGAGGGACUUGGGACAGAACAAAGUAAGCUUUGAAGGGAGCCAGUAAAGGUCUGGAUAGUGUUUGCAGACUCAGAUGUCUGUAGAGGCCUGGCAAAUAAAGCGAAUGACACCGGCCUGGUGGAAGACAAUAGGAAUGUUAGAUGAUGUGGAAACGGGAGUUCCAUCCAUGCCCUUAAGGGGGUCCACCAUUAAAAUAAUCGUAUUCUCCUUUUUUUUUUUUUUUAAUUACCAAAACCAUAACGUUGAAGUUUUAUGUGUGAUCUCUAAAUCUGACGUGUUGGCAACCGAUAUGCCGAAACCACGUAGACCAACAAAGUAAAAAAUCCCAGGAAAAUGUGCCCGACAGGCAGCCAAUUUGUAAUCUCAUUCCUUAUCGGAGACUUUAUGCCUCAAGUGCAGAAGAGACUCUUGUUCUUCACAAUUAAAAUCGUCUAUAAGGUAGCCCGAUGCCAUGGGGGAGGGUAAAGAAUCUUAAAAGCAGCCGCCUUGCUUGGCAACUUUGUCAUUUGAAUGGUGCCUCUCCAUGCUAUUAUGAAAGACCUUUGCCACUGUUCCUAAACUGCUGUGGUGCAGAACUUUAAAUCCUCCCUACCUAAUUAUACCAGCAGGAAGGUAAAUAACAAGGGUUUAGUUUGCAGAAACUGGCAACGUGGCUAUUCUUGUAUAUAAAACUAGUUCAAAAAUAGCCUACCUUAGGGUUUUGAUUAGUAACUUUUUUGUUGCCUUCAGAUAUUUUUAACUCAAUUGAAAAAAAUCUUUUCAUAGGAAAAAAAUACAUAUUUCAGUCCACAAAUAGGACUUGGAGAAGGAAAAGUUUAUUUAAUAAAACACAGAACAGCCAGCCAGGUGUGGUGGGGCACACACUCUUUUAAUCCCAGUACUGCAGAGGCAGAUGAAUCACUGAGUUCAAGACCAGCCUGAUCUACAUGAGUUUCAGGUGGGGGUCGGCCAUAUGGACCCCACAGACAUACUGAAACUUAACAGUCAGUACUGGUUUUCUGACUUUGAAAACCUCUCAUUUUGCCUUCCUACAUGGUGAGGACUACUGGGAAAAGUAUUAGUGCGCCUUGAAAGUUAACUCAUUUUUGCAAGACCCACAAAGUUAAGGCAGCAGAACCGGGGUUCACAUCCCUUGUUCUUUGCCUCUACUCCACAAUUCUCUCUUGGUACAGUCCCCACAUCCCCCAGAUUCUGCUAAAGUGCUAGCUGUAGAAGCCUGACUACCUAAAUUCAGUCUGCAGAAUGCACCUAAAGGCCAAGGAGAGGGCCAAAUCCAUUAACUUGUCUUCUGGCCUCCACGUCUGUACAUCAUGGCACAUACCAGUCACACAAUAAUAGUAAAAGGCAGAUAGCUUACUCACCCAAGAGUUCCCCCGUUUGGCUAGACUGAUUGGCCAGUGAGCUCUAAGAAUCUACCUGUCUCUGUCCCCCAAUUUUGGAGUGGUAAGCACCCCAGCUUUUAUGUGGGUUCUAGAAAUCUAGACCCUGGUCCUCACACUUUAACCACUGAGACAUAUCCCCAAUCCUAGAAUACCUACUUUUAUUUAUAUUGUUUUAAUUGAAUGGCUAUAGGGUGUUUCUUCUGUAUGUAUAUCUAUGUUUGGUACCUACAGAGGCAUCAGAUCCUCUGGAACUGUAGUUGCUGACAGUUGUAAGCUGUCAUGGGGAUGCUGGAAUUGAACCUGGAUCCUAUGAAAGAACAGCCAGUGUUCUUAACCACUGAGCUAUCUCUCCAGGCCCGAGAAUAUACAAUUGGCUGUUUGAGAGCUGGCAGAGUGGCCUGUCAGGCAAAAGUACCUGCUGCCUAACCUGACGACAUGACUUGCAUGCUCAGAACCGACAUGGUAAAAGGACAGACUCAGCCCAUGCAAGUUCAAGAACAAGCCCACACGUGGACACACAACAACAACAGCAACAAUUGUAAAUGUAAUUUUUAAAACCUGCCAUUUGAGUUGCUGACUUGAUUUUCAUUUAAAAAAAAGUAGUUAAUAAAUUUUGGCUUGGGGUUAGGGUAGGCUUCCUAACGAUUUCUGAAAUGACCUUCAUUGUAUUUUUGCAAUUUUGUACAUCUAUGCAUAGUGACUAUGGUGGUUUGAGCUCAUAUAUUUGAACUCCAGUUGUCAGGGAGUGGCUCUACUUAGAAGGAUUAAGAGGUGUGGCCUUGUUGGAGAAAGUGAGUUACUGGGGGUGGUCUCUAAGGGUUCAGCAGCCCAAGCUAGGCCCAGUGAGUCUCUCCCUACCACCCAUGGAUAAGGAUGUAGAACUCUCAGCUACCUCUCCAGCUCCAUGUCUGCCCUGCUCCCCACCACGAUGAGAAUGCACCAAACCUCUGAAACUGUACACCAGCCCCGAUUAAAUGCUUUCCUUUAUAAGAGUUGUCAUGGUCAUGGUGUCUCUUCACAACAAUAGAACAGUGACUAAGACAGUGACAUUCUCCACAUUGAUGAUUAUAAAAUCAGUAUGUCAUUCAGCUGGAAAAUGUUGAAGAUGUUCUGCAUCAUGCAGCAUUAAAUACUCCACCAAGAUUUAAUUCUUGAUACUUGUUUAUUUCAUUAAUAAUUAAUAUAUAAUGAGGAAUGCACUACUGAAAGUCAAAGGACAAUUUGCAGGUAUUUGUCUGUCCUUCUCCACUCUUGGCAGUAAGCACCUUUACCCUGAGCCUUUACCUCACCAGUCUCAAGACUUAAUUCUUUAUGUAAAAAUAAACAGACCCGGCUGUGUCAUUCAUAUGCAGAUUUUCUUUUUUAAUAAAGGAUAAAACUAUAUGUAAACUGCAAAUAAAUGUCUUUAUCAUCAGU